CAUAUUUAGUAAAACUCACAUUCGUCAGACCGACUCAGGUGGAUAUAUUGAGAAGGGUGAAAACAUUGGAAUCACUAUGUUCUUGCUGGGCGCCGUUCUUUUCUUUUUCACCCACCAUCUUCAUUAUGCGAAUGGACUAAUAUGUGGCUUUUCAAAUUGCACGUUAGAUGGGUAUGACAGAGCAUGGUGUUGUGGGGAACACAAGCAUUCAUGCUGCAAGGAAUCGAAUUCGUCGAGUCAUUGGUAUGUCUGGGUGAUUGUUGCGUUAGUUCUAGUCGGCAUCUUUAUUGGUAUAGUGUUUUUCGUUCGGUAUCGUCGACGCCGUGGUGUCUACAAUCAAAUUCAGUAAAGAAACUUCUCGUCCACCAAUGAAUUCAUUAAUUAUAAAUACUAUGACUUGCUGUGAUAAUAACAUUUGUGAAUAAUACCUUUACGAUUUUUGUA